CCUACGGGGCGCUGCAGUGAGGAAUAUUGGUCAAUGGGCGCGAGCCUGAACCCGCCAAGUAGCAUGAAGGAUGACUGCCCUACGGGUUGUAAACUUCUUUUAUAAAGGAAUAAAGUGAGGAACGUGUGCCUUUUUGUAUGUACUUUAUGAAUAAGGAUCGGCUAACUCCGUGCCAGCAGCCGCGGUAAUACUGCGGAUCUGAGCGUUAAACGGUUUUAUUGGGUUUAAAGGGAGCGUAGAUGGGUUGUUAAGUCAGUUGUGAAAGUUUGCGGCUCAACCGUAAAAUUGCAAUUGAUACUGGCAGUCUUGAGGACAGUUGAGGUAGGCGGAAUUCGUGGUGUAGCGGUGAAAUGCUUAGAUAUCACGAAGAACUCCGAUUGCGAAGGCAGCUUACUAAACUGCCACUGACAUUGAUGCUCGAAAGUGUGGGUAUCAAACAGGAUUAGAUACCCCUGUAGUC
rnacentral:rRNA from 1 species